UGGGGAAUAUUGCACAAUGGGCGCAAGCCUGAUGCAGCAACGCCGCGUGAACGAUGAAGGUCUUCGGAUCGUAAAGUUAUGUUGCAGGGGAAGAUAAUGACGGUACCCUGUGAGGAAGCCCCGGCUAACUACGUGCCAGCAGCCGCGGUAAUACGUAGGGGGCUAGCGUUAUCCGGAUUUACUGGGCGUAAAGGGUGCGUAGGUGGUCUUUCAAGUCGGUGGUUAAAGGCUACGGCUCAACCGUAGUUAGCCUCCGAAACUGGAAGACUUGAGUGCAGGAGAGGAAAGUGGAAUUCCCAGUGUGGCGGUGAAAUGCGUAGAUAUUGGGAGGAACACCAGUAGCGAAGGCGGCUUUCUGGACUGCAACUGACACUGAGGCACGAAAGCGUGGGUAGCAAACAGG
rnacentral:rRNA from 1 species